GGCCCCAUAGAUCAAUUGGCAGAUCGUUGGAUUCCAAAUCCAGAGGUCGGGAGUUCAAGUCUCUCUGGGGUCA